GUCCUAGCCGUAAACGAUGGUCACUAGGUGUUGCGGGUAUCGACCCCUGCAGUGCCGAAGCUAACGCAUUAAGUGACCCGCCUGGGGAGUACGGCCGCAAGGUUGAAACUCAAAGGAAUUGACGGGGGCCCCACAAGCGGUGGAGCAUGUGGCUCAAUUCGAGGCUACGCGAAGAACCUUACCUGGGUUUGACAUCCUUGGAAUCCCCCUGAAAGGGGGAGUGCCCUUCGGGGAGCCAAGAGACAGGUGGUGCAUGGCUGUCGU
rnacentral:rRNA from 1 species